CAGCAGCCGCGGUAAUACCGGCGGCCCGAGUGGCGGUCACUAUUAUUGGGCUUAAAGCGUCCGUAGCCGGGUUGGGAAGUCCUCCGGGAAAUCUGGCCGCUUAACGGUCAGAAUGCCGGAGGAUACUCCCAGCCUAGGGAGCGGGAGAGGCCGAGGGUAUUCCCGGAGUAGGGGUGAAAUCCUAUAAUCCCGGGAGGACCACCGGUGGCGAAGGCGCUCGGCUGGAACGCGUCCGACGGUGAGGGACGAAGGCCAGGGGAGCAAACCGGAUUAGAUACCCGGGUAGUCCUGGCUGUAAACGAUGCGGACUUUGUGUCGGACAAGCUAUGAGCUUGUCCGGUGCCGGAGGGAAACCGUUAAGUCCGCCGCCUGGGGAGUACGGCCGCAAGGCUGAAACUUAAAGGAAUUGGCGGG
rnacentral:rRNA from 1 species